UACGUAGGGGGCGAGCGUUGUCCGGAUUUAUUGGGCGUAAAGAGCUCGUAGGCGGUUUGGUAAGUCGGAUGUGAAAUCUCCAGGCUCAACCUGGAGGGGUCAUUCGAGACUGCUAUGACUAGAGUUCGGUAGAGGAGUGUGGAAUUCCCGGUGGAGCGGUGAAAUGCGCAGAUAUCAGGAGGAACACCCGUAGCGAAGGCGGCACUCUGGGCCGAUACUGACGCUGAGGAGCGAAAGCGUGGGGAGCGAACAGG
rnacentral:rRNA from 1 species